rnacentral:misc_RNA from 1 species
AACGGUCUAUACCUGCGGUACCUGCGGAAGGAUCAUUACUGAGGAGGGUCCAUGGCCCGAUCUCCAACCCUUUGAUAAAAACACCAUGUUGCUUUGGCAGGCCCGCCCGUUGGGGCCGCGGGGGAUCGCCGGUCCCUAGCCCGUGCCUGCCGGUAGCCUUCACAAAACUCUCAAAAUGUUGUCGUCUGAGAUGAUUAGAAUAAUAAAACUUUCAACAACGGAUCUCUAGAUCGGAAGAGC